AAAACUUUGGCCUUUUUCGUCAUUGCUACUUACGGAGAUGGGGAGCCUACAUAUAAUUCUGCAAAACGUCUUAUUCAAGUUGGUCUCGGAGAUGAUGAUCAGAGCAUCGAGGAUGAUUUUAAUGCCUGGAAAGAAGUGUUGGGGACGGCGGUUGUUGAUGACAGCAAAACUCCGGCAAUUCGAGCGAUUCCAGAU